UGAGGAAUAUCGGUCAAUGGGCGAGAGCCUGAACCAGCCAAGUAGCGUGCAGGAUGACGGCCCUAUGGGUUGUAAACUGCUUUUAUGUGGGGAUAAAGUGCGUGACGUGUCAUGCAUUGCAGGUACCACAUGAAUAAGGACCGGCUAAUUCCGUGCCAGCAGCCGCGGUAAUACGGAAGGUCCGGGCGUUAUCCGGAUUUAUUGGGUUUAAAGGGAGCGUAGGCUGUCUAUUAAGCGUGUUGUGAAAUUUACCGGCUCAACCGGUGGCUUGCAGCGCGAACUGGUCGACUUGAGUAUGCAGGAAGUAGGCGGAAUUCAUGGUGUAGCGGUGAAAUGCUUAGAUAUCAUGACGAACUCCGAUUGCGCAGGCAGCUUACUGUAGCAUAACUGACGCUGAUGCUCGAAAGUGCGGGUAUCAAACAGG
rnacentral:rRNA from 2 species